rnacentral:rRNA from 1 species
CGUAUGGUGCAAGCGUUUAUCCGGAUUUACUGGGUGUAAAGGGAGCGCAGGCGGUGCGGCAAGUCUGAUGUGAAAGCCCGGGGCUCAACCCCGGUACUGCAUUGGAAACUGUCGUACUAGAGUGUCGGAGGGGUAAGUGGAAUUCCUAGUGUAGCGGUGAAAUGCGUAGAUAUUAGGAGGAACACCAGUGGCGAAGGCGGCUUACUGGACGAUAACUGACGCUGAGGCUCGAAAGCGUGGGGAGCAA